GAACGAAACUUCUUUAUCACCGAGUGCUUGCACUCACCGAUAAAGAGUUGAGUGGCGAACGGGUGAGUAACACGUGGGCAACCUGCCCAAAAGAGGGGGAUAACACUUGGAAACAGGUGCUAAUACCGCAUAACCAUAGUUACCGCAUGGUAACUAUGUAAAAGGUGGCUAUGCUACCGCUUUUGGAUGGGCCCGCGGCGCAUUAGCUAGUUGGUGGGGUAAAGGCUUACCAAGGCAAUGAUGCGUAGCCGAACUGAGAGGUUGAUCGGCCACAUUGGGACUGAGACACGGCCCAAACUCCUACGGGAGGCAGCAGUAGGGAAUCUUCCACAAUGGGCGAAAGCCUGAUGGAGCAACGCCGCGUGGGUGAAGAAGGUCUUCGGAUCGUAAAACCCUGUUGUUAGAGAAGAAAGUGCGUGAGAGUAACUGUUCACGUUUCGACGGUAUCUAACCAGAAAGCCACGGCUAACUACGUGCCAGCAGCCGCGGUAAUACGUAGGUGGCAAGCGUUAUCCGGAUUUAUUGGGCGUAAAGGGAACGCAGGCGGUCUUUUAAGUCUGAUGUGAAAGCCUUCGGCUUAACCGGAGUAGUGCAUUGGAAACUGGGAGACUUGAGUGCAGAAGAGGAGAGUGGAACUCCAUGUGUAGCGGUGAAAUGCGUAGAUAUAUGGAAGAACACCAGUGGCGAAAGCGGCUCUCUGGUCUGUAACUGACGCUGAGGUUCGAAAGCGUGGGUAGCAAACAGGAUUAGAUACCCUGGUAGUCCACGCCGUAAACGAUGAAUGCUAAGUGUUGGAGGGUUUCCGCCCUUCAGUGCUGCAGCUAACGCAAUAAGCAUUCCGCCUGGGG
rnacentral:rRNA from 1 species